UAGAGUUUACUGCAGCCUGUUCGCAGCAAGAUUUAAAUUUUUAUUUGGACAAAUAGUUCAGAUCAGACCAUUGUGAAAAAUAUCACAAAAUGUUUAGAAAAUAAACAAAACUCAUUAGCAAGUGAGAGACAAGAGUAAAAUUUUGAGCAUCUGUUUUUUCAUAUAUUUGCAAACAUUUUCCAAGUCAUCAGUAUAAAUAAAAAUAAAAAAUAAAAAAACGUAACAUUUCUGUUAAUGAUUCAUUUGGUUCCAAUUACCUUUUUGUUCAUUGUUUGCUCUGAGGCACCGUUGCCAAUAAAGGUUGGUGAAUUGAAGUACCGGUAGGCACUUUACACAUCCACUGAAGAAAAUAGUUCCAAAACAUAUUUGAAUAAGGAGGACAACGAAAUGUAUUUAUUUACAUUGAGAACUUUUGCUACAUCGGUUUUACAUUUGUUAAACCGAUGUAGCACUCUCAAAAAUUAAUCUUGUGUUUCUUGGAAAACGUAAAAUGACCCGCGGAUGGAUAUGCGGUUUCAAAAUCAAGCUUGUUCUCUUCAUCAGUCCGUUGGCGCGGAGUCUGCCUGUUGGCUGAUCUACGAAAGAAUCUGUAAGUACAUUUCUUCUGUUUUACCUAGUACCAAAUUUUAGGGAGAGAUUUUAAAUCGCUUGUUAAAAAAAUUGUUGCUCGUAACAAAUCGGACGACAGUAUCCCAAAAGAGACUUAAUUGUUAUUGUUAUUUUUGCUUUUCUUUAGGGUGAUACUUUUUCUGAUAUUGCUAACACACACAGCUACACACAAUAAGCAGAUUUUAGUGCAGACCGAUUUCAAACGCAGCGUUGUGGGCCAAACCAUUUUCAAAUACCGCCGCCAUUCUAUUUGUUGAGCUGCCAUUGGUUCAUUUGAGCGCCAACGAGGCAGAAUGAAAUCGGUUCACUGAAGAAUCUAUGUUGCUAGCAGAGGUUGUUACAAAGUGUCUGGACACAAUAAAACCAUUUGUAUGAUUUAAAAAGAGUAACUAUUGUGCUUUCAUUCUAUGUACUUGGGCUUUUAAUAAUCUUUCUCACAGUCACAUCAGCAUGCAUGGGUGGGUCUCAUGUAUGGAUUCAGGCUGGUUUGGCUGGGACCCAUGCAAGAUUAUUAUUGUCGUUUUUUUCAAUAAAACUGCAUUGAAUCGUUUAGCUUUGGGCUAUAUAGGUAAUGAUAAGAGGGCAUGGGUUUUAUCUGGGUCAACUGCGUGAGGCUCAAAAGGUUAACCGAAAUGGGACUCAUAUUGUUGGCUCAAUUGGGUUAAAUGUAUGGGCCCAAUUCAGCAUUAACGUGGGCUAACCGGGCAUGGGACAGAAAUGGGAACACUAUAUGGGGCCCAUGUGGUUUCAGUAUAUUGGGCCUAAAAGGUUUUUUGUAAAUAGGAUGAAGGCAUUGUAGUUCAUAUUUUUAAAUUCUUUUUUUAAUUGUUGUGUGACACUUUAAAGCGUUUUGUUAUGUCAUAGUUUAUUUCAAUCUGCCGCUAUUGUGUUGGUCUAGAGUAGUCAUCAGUGUCAGGGUUCCUGUGUGUGUAUGUGAGUGUCGCAUCUUAUUUCAGCGAGGAGCCCGUGGAGCUUGGCACAGGUGGAGGAGCAGCAGAAUCUUCAGUCUACGCUAGAUUGACUGAAGAUUCUACUGGUGUAUGCUAGAUGGUUGCAUACACCGGUAGUCACUCUGGCCUCUCCUGUUGUGAACAGUUUUCUGAGAACGUUUCUGUGUCUACUAGAAGUCACCUGGUCUCUGUGUUUGUUCGAUCCUAGGGGUUUUGUCGCCUCAUUCGAGAACUCACCAGUGAAUACCUGCCUGCUCGCUCCGCCGAUUCCACUGCCUCCACUCCAUCCUUCGAGCUUCCAGCUCUCUUCCAUUCCCACCUCGCAUUUACCUUCGGAACCGCUGCACACCCUCUCUCAGGAACCUGGCAUCUCACACCCACGCCUCGAAAGACCCGCACCGAAGUAAGCCUGUUCCUGUUUCCCCUCCGAUCACUCAUUCUAAGCCCGUCAUAACUAAGUUCUCGUUUCAGGCCAACCUGGUCGAGUGGUCCUCACCCUUCCGCUGAUGUCCGGGAAAUAGAUUUUAUUUUGUCCUGUUGUAAAUAAAUCACUCACUCAUCCCUAUCCAACGUGUGGUUACUGCAUGUGGGUCCGUAAAUUGAAACCCAUCAUGUCAAUCAGUGGCCAAGCCUGAAACAAAUAUUGAAAGAUGAAGAAAUUCUUUUUGAUAUUUUUGCAAUAUUUAGCUAGCAGUUAUGUGAAAUGUACUUAUAUUUAAUUGUAGCUCUAAUUUUUUUAUAUGUGCAAUGUUUUAGGCUUUAUUAGUUACAUUUAUAGUGAUUUUCUAAACUUCUCUUAAGAGUAAUACUACUGUCUUAGUCCUGUCACGUUAACAAAGAAAUUAGGAUAAUUGCAAAACUGUUCAGUGUUUACAAUAUAAGGCUUCAGUAGUUAAUCUAUACAAAGGCUGUUUUGCCUUAAUUUUUUUAUUUUUUUGAAAAGUCUAAAUGUUAUAUUGCACUAAUAAAAUAUAUAUUUUUGCAGGCUUCAAGAGGAUCAGCGUGUGAAGAUCACUUUAUAAUGAUUUGAAAAAGGUUGCCAUGGCUACAGAAAUUGGAGGAGCAUCCUUAGAUGACACAAUACAACCAGCUGUGCGAUUCCUCAUGUCCCAUGAACUGGAAGUCCAGUUCAACCUUUUUGGCCAACAUGGGAAACAAGCUCUUGGACCUGCGUCUCUUUGAUGUUUUGUAUGGGGACUUAAAAGAAAUUAUCCAUCUACAGAAUCACACAAGCAUACAGCAAAGACUCUCGAAGUGGUUUACUGGAGCCCGAGUGGAAGUGGAAAUAGACUAGAGAGACUGCCAGUUCAAACUCAGGUUGGGGAGGUCUUUCAAGAUGGACAGUUUCAGUAAAGUAUGAGAGAUUUCAAAUUUAAGCAUGCAUAUGGCAUGUAGGUUAUUUUUAAAAAUGUUUAACAAAAAUGUAUUGUGAAAGAUCUAUAUAGGUGUGUAUAUUCACAUUGUGUGUAUCAAUGUGAAUAUACGUGUAUAAAGUUAUAUAGAUAGUAUUUAGAUGUAUACAUUUAUAGACCUGUAGGAAAAUAUGUAGGUGUCUUUAUUUGUGUGCAUCUAUAGAUAUAUAUUUAUAGAUCUGUUUAUAAGUUUGUUAUAGUAAACUAGCUUCUGUUAUUUUCAAAGAUGUCGUGAAUAAUUGCAGAUUUCUUUUUGUGGCACCAUUCCCUGAGUAUUAAUGAAGUUCUAAUAAUUGCUGUAGUGAGGUAAAAAAUAACUCCUGACAAUAUUUUAAAUUACUAAAUAAAAGCCUUGAGCAAAAUAAA